rnacentral:lncRNA from 1 species
GACGAAAGCACAAAGGAUGAAAUCGUGAAGCAUAGAAAAAGCUUUCACUUGUAAUGCUGAAAAUUUCGAAUAAUUACCUGAUAUGAAGGUUAUAGGACUUUUGGUCCAAUUUUUUUUGUCCAUAAAUUUUUUCGUCCAAUUUAUUUUGUCCACGACUUUUUGUCCUUGAAAUCUGGUCCAAGUUAAAUUCGUCCUGGUAAAUAGUUAGUCCUACGCAUUUGUUCGUCCAGUGGUAUUAGGUCACAUUUCUGUGGUCCAGUAAGGUAAAAAAGUUAUGUCCAAAACUCACGUCCAAUGAGGCCGUUUCAGCGACGUACGUUGACCACACGUACGUGCGUGGCAAACCAGCUCGGGGAAGAAGACGUGCGGUACCUCCCCUGUUCCCUCCCGAAACAUGGAACGUCUACAACUUAGUUUUGGCAGAUCGUAUUAGAACAAACAACGCAGUUGAGGGCUUUCACUCAAAAUUCAACCAAAUCGUCGGCACGCAUCAUGCUAACAUUUGGAAGCUCAUUGACGCUUUUAAAAAGGUUCAACAGGACACAGAGCGUACGUUAACACAGGCUCGGGGGGGUCAUCGCCGCUUUAAACCACCGGUGAGCAAGAAGUACACUACCAAUCAGUCAAUGAUUGCCAACAUCGUCCGAAAUUACCAACAUUACAAGGACACGAACUCACUUAAGAAGUACCUCCGAGCAUGUGCGUACCACCUCAAGUUGCACACGCCACGCGCAGAUCCACCGGACUCGGACGAAGAAGACUCAGACGAUGACUGAAAGUAGCUGAAAGCUGAAAGGAAAUAGCUGAAACGGCCUCAUUGGACGUGAGUUUUGGACAUAACUUUUUUACCUUACUGGACCACAGAAAUGUGACCUAAUACCACUGGACGAACAAAUGCGUAGGACUAACUAUUUACCAGGACGAAUUUAACUUGGACCAGAUUUCAAGGACAAAAAGUCGUGGACAAAAUAAAUUGGACGAAAAAAUUUAUGGACAAAAAAAAUUGGACCAAAAGUCCUGUAACCGAUAUGAAAAUUCAGAUUUUUAGGGGGCAAUUUUUACGGGCUACGUUGGCGCAGAGCCUCCAUUUUU